GAUCAUGGCUCGGGAUGAACGUUAGCUACAGGCUUAACACAUGCAAGUCGAGGGGAAACGACAUCGAAAGCUUGCUUUUGAUGGGCGUCGACCGGCGCACGGGUGAGUAACGCGUAUCCAACCUGCCCAUCACUUGGGAAUAACCUUGCGAAAGUAAGACUAAUGCCCAAUGAUAUCCCACGAAGGCAUCCGAAUGGGAUUAAAGAUUUAUCGGUGAUGGAUGGGGAUGCGUCUGAUUAG
rnacentral:rRNA from 1 species